UACGUAGGGUGCAAGCGUUAAUCGGAAUUACUGGGCGUAAAGCGUGCGCAGGCGGCGCGUUAAGACAGGUGUGAAAGCCCCGAGCUUAACUUGGGAAUUGCGCUUGUGACUGGCGUGCUGGAGUGUGGCAGAGGGAGGUGGAAUUCCACGUGUAGCAGUGAAAUGCGCAGAUAUCAGGAGGAACACCCAUUGCGAAGGCAGCUCGCUGGGACGUUACUGACGCUGAGACGCGAAAGCGUGGGGAGCAAACAGG
rnacentral:rRNA from 1 species